UUUAAUUGAAGAGUUUGAUCAUGGCUCAGAUUGAACGCUGGCGGCAGGCCUAACACAUGCAAGUCGAGCGGAAACGAAG
rnacentral:rRNA from 1 species